rnacentral:rRNA from 1 species
GAUCCUGGCUCAGAUUGAACGCUGGCGGCAGGCUUAACACAUGCAAGUCGAACGGUAACAUAAAGAAGCUUGCUUCUUUGAUGACGAGUGGCGGACGGGUGAGUAAUGCUUGGGAAUCUAGCUUAUGGAGGGGGGAUAACUACGGGAAACUGUAGCUAAUACCGCGUAGAAUCGGGAGAUGAAAGUGUGGGACCUUCGGGCCACAUGCCAUAGGAUGAGCCCAAGUGGGAUUAGGUAGUUGGUGG